AUUGAACGCUGGCGGAAUGCUUUACACAUGCAAGUCGAACGGCAGCACGGGGGCAACCCUGGUGGCGAGUGGCGAACGGGUGAGUAAUAUAUCGGAACGUGCCCAGUCGUGGGGGAUAACGUAGCGAAAGUUACGCUAAUACCGCAUACGAUCUACGGAUGAAAGCGGGGGAUCGCAAGACCUCGCGCGAUUGGAGCGGCCGAUAUCAGAUUAGGUAGUUGGUGGGGUAAAGGCUCACCAAGCCAACAAUCUGUAGCUGGUCUGAGAGGACGACCAGCCACACUGGGACUGAGACACGGCCCAGACUCCUACGGGAGGCAGCAGUGGGGAAUUUUGGACAAUGGGCGCAAGCCUGAUCCAGCCAUUCCGCGUGCAGGACGAAGGCCUUCGGGUUGUAAACUGCUUUUGUACGGAACGAAAAAGCCUUGGCUAAUACCCAGGGUCCAUGACGGUACCGUAAGAAUAAGCACCGGCUAACUACGUGCCAGCCGCCGCCGUAA
rnacentral:rRNA from 1 species